GCAACAUUCGACUUGAGUUCGGUUGCAGACGGAGAGAGAUCAAUAAACUCAUCGCCAUUGGACAGAUCCGCUUUUACUUGAGGAAUAUUAAGCUUUGUAGCAGCGGCUUGUGCCGAUGGAAUUCCUUCUUUCGAUGUGAGAAGAAGCUUCGAUUCCGAGUCCGAUAAGUAGAACUCGAAUUCCUCCGCCGUGUAAGCCGGAUUUAAUGGUGCAG
rnacentral:misc_RNA from 1 species